rnacentral:rRNA from 1 species
UACGUAGGUGGCGAGCGUUAUCCGGAUUUACUGGGUGUAAAGGGCGUGUAGGCGGGUUGGUAAGUUGGAAGUGAAAUACCGCAGCUUAACUGCGGGGCUGCUUUCAAAACUACUUAUCUUGAGUGUCGGAGAGGAAAGCGGAAUUCCUAGUGUAGCGGUGAAAUGCGUAGAUAUUAGGAGGAACACCAGUGGCGAAGGCGGCUUUCUGGACGAUAACUGACGCUGAGGCGCGAAAGCGUGGGGAGCAAAC